rnacentral:rRNA from 1 species
CACACCGCCCGUCACACCAUGGGAGCGGGUUCUGCCUGAAACCGGUGCGCUAACCGCAAGGAGGCAGCCGUCUACGGUAUGGUCAGCGACUGGGGUG